rnacentral:lncRNA from 1 species
CAACUUUGCAGAAGAAAAUUUUUUCAAAUUCCAAACAGAAAUUGACCGAAAUCCACAAACGGACGAUUUUAUAGGCUAUAAUCAAAUUUCGGUCAAUAAUUGUGUCCACCAACACACAAAAUAUGUGUUAAACAUUUAAUGCCACAAAAAUACUCUUCCUCCUCAUAUACUCAUAUAUCCCACAUUCAUUAUAAAAAUAUCACCG